UGCAAAUGUCCUUUGAAUGUGCAUUUAAGUCUAAAUUUAAACAGUAUUAUAUAGAGUGAUCGUGUCUCUUUAGGGCGCUUGGAGGAAACCACGCAAUUCAUAUGGAUUACUUUGGCGAUGUUUUUUUGCGAUGAACUUUUUGAAACGUGAACAUCUUUGAUUAAUCUUUUCAUCGGAGGGACAUAACGUUACAUCUCUCAGAUUUCAUUAAAAUAGCUCCGCUUUUCUUUCGAAGAUGAACGAAAGUCUUAGAUGGUUUGGAGCAUCUUAAGGCUUCUGCAAGCGUGUAUGGCGUCUGGCUGUUGGAACCUCACUGUGACUUCAGAUAAGAACAAAGAUUAAAUUGUAAGAAGGGCUGCUUGUAAGAGCAUACAGUACAUCUGAAACUGCUGAGGCUGGGAAGGUUUUUGACUAUAUUUCCGACCAGAUCAGCUGCUAUAGAAGACAAACUGAAAUCUGAGUGCAGAGACAAGCAAAGGAAUACUGCAAGGCACUUGUGCAAAAUAUUGUAUGCCAGGACGACUAGGCUGUGCCCAGGUCUCCGGAACCUGCGACGACACUCAGCUCCAUCGGCCCUCCAUCUACAUCUUGGCUCCUCCCUCCCUCGACUCCGCUGUGUAUUGUCAGCACUGGGAUGCUCUGGGUCUGUGCCAUGUGCCAAACUCCAUCUAAGCCGCCAGGGCAUCAUCGUCAUCCUCCCAUCACCAUCCCUUCACCACAUCCUGCCAUCAUCCCGCACCUUUGCCUCUCACCAUUCCUACACCAUCUCCUCGUCCACCUCCAAAACCCCUCCAUCCCUCCCUAUUCUGUUGCUUGAACUUUAUCAUCUUCAGUCUUUGCACACACAUCUAUUCACUUCUGCACUUAGUUUUUCUGUA